UUAAGCGACUAAGCGUACACGGUGGAUGCCCUGGCAGUCAGAGGCGAUGAAGGACGUGCUAAUCUGCGAUAAGCGUCGGUGAGGUGAUAUGAACCGUUAUAACCGGCGAUUUCCGAAUGGGGAAACCCAGUGUGUUUCGACACACUAUCAUUAACUGAAUCCAUAGGUUAAUGAGGCGAACCGGGGGAACUGAAACAUCUAAGUACCCCGAGGAAAAGAAAUCAACCGAGAUUCCCCCAGUAGCGGCGAGCGAACGGGGAGCAGCCCAGAGUCUGAAUCAGCUUGUGUGUUAGUGGAAGCGUCUGGAAAGUCGCACGGUACAGGGUGACAGUCCCGUACACGAAAAUGCACAGGUUGUGAACUCGAAGAGUAGGGCGGGACACGUGGUAUCCUGUCUGAAUAUGGGGGGACCAUCCUCCAAGGCUAAAUACUCCUGACUGACCGAUAGUGAACCAGUACCGUGAGGGAAAGGCGAAAAGAACCCCGGCGAGGGGAGUGAAAAAGAACCUGAAACCGUGUACGUACAAGCAGUGGGAGCCUCUUAAUGGGGUGACUGCGUACCUUUUGUAUAAUGGGUCAGCGACUUAUAUUCUGUAGCAAGGUUAACCGAAUAGGGGAGCCGAAGGGAAACCGAGUCUUAACUGGGCGUUAAGUUGCAGGGUAUAGACCCGAAACCCGGUGAUCUAGCCAUGGGCAGGUUGAAGGUUGGGUAACACUAACUGGAGGACCGAACCGACUAAUGUUGAAAAAUUAGCGGAUGACUUGUGGCUGGGGGUGAAAGGCCAAUCAAACCGGGAGAUAGCUGGUUCUCCCCGAAAGCUAUUUAGGUAGCGCCUCGUGAACUCAUCUUCGGGGGUAGAGCACUGUUUCGGCUAGGGGGCCAUCCCGGCUUACCAACCCGAUGCAAACUACGAAUACCGAAGAAUGUUAUCACGGGAGACACACGGCGGGUGCUAACGUCCGUCGUGAAGAGGGAAACAACCCAGACCGCCAGCUAAGGUCCCAAAGUCAUGGUUAAGUGGGAAACGAUGUGGGAAGGCCCAGACAGCCAGGAUGUUGGCUUAGAAGCAGCCAUCAUUUAAAGAAAGCGUAAUAGCUCACUGGUCGAGUCGGCCUGCGCGGAAGAUGUAACGGGGCUAAACCAUGCACCGAAGCUGCGGCAGCGACGCUUAUGCGUUGUUGGGUAGGGGAGCGUUCUGUAAGCCUGUGAAGGUGGCCUGUGAGGGUUGCUGGAGGUAUCAGAAGUGCGAAUGCUGACAUAAGUAACGAUAAAGCGGGUGAAAAGCCCGCUCGCCGGAAGACCAAGGGUUCCUGUCCAACGUUAAUCGGGGCAGGGUGAGUCGACCCCUAAGGCGAGGCCGAAAGGCGUAGUCGAUGGGAAACAGGUUAAUAUUCCUGUACUUGGUGUUACUGCGAAGGGGGGACGGAGAAGGCUAUGUUGGCCGGGCGACGGUUGUCCCGGUUUAAGCGUGUAGGCUGGUUUUCCAGGCAAAUCCGGAAAAUCAAGGCUGAGGCGUGAUGACGAGGCACUACGGUGCUGAAGCGACAAAUGCCCUGCUUCCAGGAAAAGCCUCUAAGCAUCAGGUAACAUUAAAUCGUACCCCAAACCGACACAGGUGGUCAGGUAGAGAAUACCAAGGCGCUUGAGAGAACUCGGGUGAAGGAACUAGGCAAAAUGGUGCCGUAACUUCGGGAGAAGGCACGCUGAUAUGUAGGUGAAGCGACUUGCUCGUGGAGCUGAAAUCAGUCGAAGAUACCAGCUGGCUGCAACUGUUUAUUAAAAACACAGCACUGUGCAAACACGAAAGUGGACGUAUACGGUGUGACGCCUGCCCGGUGCCGGAAGGUUAAUUGAUGGGGUUAGCGGUAACGCGAAGCUCUUGAUCGAAGCCCCGGUAAACGGCGGCCGUAACUAUAACGGUCCUAAGGUAGCGAAAUUCCUUGUCGGGU
rnacentral:rRNA from 1 species